GGGGAGAAACCAGGAACUGGUCAAGGUAGAGAAUCCAUUUCCAUCUCAUCUCUAUCAACAUUUGACUCUUUGAUCCUGACUCCUGCCCACUGCCAGUCACUGAGCAAAGCAUGAGUUGGGGGAGAUGGAGGGAGAAAAAGAAAACAUGCAAACCUCCCCCACCUACCACACUUACUAGGUGGGGAUAUAGACUUGUUUUAGUUUGCUGUCUGCUUCAGCAGCUUUCAAUCUUUUCUGCAGGAAGGGGAAAAAAAAAGAAAGAUCAAAGUAUCUCUGCAGGAGGAUGUCAUCAACUCCCAAAGGCAGAGGCUCUGCAGGUCCCCCACAGAGCCCAGCCUGCCCAACUGCCCAGCCACAUCUGCUCACCAAGGUGAUAUCUCGGGAAGCUGCAGCUGCACUCAUGUGCAGGCUUGGCUGCCGAAUGGAACUGCUACAAUCUAGGGCUCUUGCAAAGGUGCCCACAGCUCUGAGGGAGAGAUGGAGAAGCCAAGAGGAAAAGAAGGCAUGAUUGGGCUGAGGAACUAAGCCAAAUAAGGAAAACACCCAUGCCACCCCUGCCAAAAAAAACCCACUUCCCCCCCAAAACAAUCAAGUCCACCUCUGCAAAUUCGAUGCAAGAUGUCCACACCACCCCCAGCCCAUCUUUCCCAUCCACCCACCCCUCACCGGGCCACCACGAGAAACUGAUCAAUCUGCCGGUCUGUGAGAGGGUUGUCUGGGUCCCAGACCUUCAUCUCCAUCUUCUGUUGGUUCCGAUUAUCAGAUUCUCCUUGGAAACAGGGAGACGGCAACAUCAGAGAAAGGUAAAGGAGGAUAGUAAGUAUUUUGAUACUCACAAUAGCACUUCGCUCCUCCUUGGAUUUUAUAAAAUUUUAUAAAAUCCUGCUUGGAUUUUUAUCACCACCUCAACUUUCAGACUUCUCUUCCCAACUGUGCCCAUCUGCCCGCCUCAGGUUCCCAGGGUCCUGUCCUAUCAGGGUGACAGCAGAGAGCCAUGAAGACUAUACAGUGUAAAACUCCACGGCAUACUAUUCAUAGACACUACCAUGUUAGAUAACCCAGUAGCCAUACUGGUCUGGUCUGUCGCUUACCCUCUGCCAAGCGAUCUGGUAUCUCAGCUUGGUAUUUGCAACCAACUCUGAUCUCUCCCUGAUCAGCUAGAAGUGUCUUCUGCACAGGGUCAAACACCAGUGAGUAAAAAAAGCAGUCCUGGAGAUGGGAAGAAAGGGUAAGCAGGCAGCAGUCCUCAGAGGCUGGGGGUGGUGAGGAGGAUCCAGAGUUCCCAAGACAGGCGGUCAGCCAGUUGACCUGUGCCUCAUCAUGGUUCUACUUUCCUCUAGCCCCUUGGGACAUACCCACCCCCCUCCUUCUUCUCCCAGCACCUCUUUCUCACCUCCUUUUCCAAGUAUUGGCUCAAGAUGUCAGUCUCAUUCAGGAGCGUCACACUGCAUUUCCCCCUACAGAAGAGAAGUCAGAAAACCCCGGGUGAGCUCCUCACUGCCUCUCCACAGCAUCUCCAAUACACCACCCCCUCCCUUGCCAGCUUCUACGGAAGUGCCUACAGGCCACAGUGGCCUUGAUUGUCCUAUACCGUAUGUGGGUGGCUGGUAAGGAUUCAAAUUGCCGAGAAAGAAAAAGCUCCCGGUGCUUCAGCUGAUGUCGCUGCUGCUCUGACACCCCUGGCUGCUUUGAUUCCUCCUCAAACUCCCCUGGGAGAUGAAGGAGGAAGAAGCCAAGUCAGAAACUAAUUCAGAAAGAAGCCACCCUGGCAACUCUAACCCCGGGGAAAACAUUUCCUAUUCCAGCUGGUUUUCACAUUCCCCAGGCAUCUACCUCUCAGCCCCUAAGCCCGCCAAACUUCCCACUUAGCCCUCUCCCCAUUACAGUGCUCCCAACUCCCCAUCACUAAUGCCUUGGGAAUCGCUGCUAAGAGUACAAAGAAUGCCACAGAAAUGCAUCCCAAACCCAGGUGCCAAUGCUUAAAUGCCACUCAUAAAGCACAAAUCUGCCCACUUCAGGCCCAGCAAGAAUAUCACACUCCUCUCUCUUGCUAAACCAGCCCGAGUUCCAGAAACCCAAUAAGGUGAAAAAUCAUCACACGAGGUUGUGUUUACUAGUUCUUUUCAGAUUUCAGGAGUCUCUUUGCUCUUAUACAUCUCGCAGUCCUAACUAUUCUUCACUGUCCACUUGACUAAUGAUUGUUUGUGGGGCUUCCAAGGACAGUACCUCUCAAGCCAGCGCCAGUGCCUUCCUCCCCAGGCACUGCAACUUUGCCCUGAAACCUUGGUGGAAAGGGUUAACUUGGCUGAGGGCCAACCAAAGCGGGAGGGGGCAGGAGAGCCACAGGCCCAGGCUCAUUGGUGCAUUGUUCCCAACCUCAGGGAGAAGGGGGGGGUGGGGUGCAGCAGGCUCCACCCCUCGCCUGUGUGCUCCGGAAACCCAGUGCUAAGGCAAGGGGGGGACCACACCCCCCCCACCCCUUCUGAUUGGACAAGGCCAAGGUCAGCCCCUGCCAGAUGGGGCUGGAAACCCCAGAGGGCCAGAGAACUUGGUAGGCCUAGCUCCUCGUUAACCCCUUCAUGGCCACAGCUGCCUGAAAUAAGGAAGAUAAUUUCAGAAGGAGGAACAAGAGGAAGAGGAAAGAAAGCCAAAGCAGGAAAGGAAAAAGAAACUAAGGAAAACAUAAAGAAAUAGUUUUUUUAAAGGAAGAUGAAAGCAUAAAGAGAAGGAAGAUAACACAAAAGGAAAAGAUGUAAAAUGGAGUGGAGCAAAACAGAAGAGGUGAGAAAGAGGAAAAAGGGCAAGAAAAGUUUCCUAGUUUCCCAUUCUCUUCCUUCAAUGUAUUCUCAUUACUUCGUGAUCGCAAAAUUAGGCUGCUUCCUUGUUAUGCAGGCUUCCAAGUACACGCUCUUCCUCUUCAACCUUGACCUUUACAGUCACUACCCAUUGUCCCAAGGUACCCAAAACUGACCCCCAAGGGUCCUGCUUCUCUAAAGCUCUUCUUCAUCCCCUACUUAAAUACUAUCAUCUCUUUUACACCCAUCAUUCAGAUACACACACACAAGCCAUUUUCUGGCUUUCCUUAUCAUGGUCUCUCCACCCUGCUUCCAACCCCAACGUGUAAAAACAGGCCUCCCUCCGCAAACCAGGCAUUUCUCACCCCCAAACUCACACCCCUGCUUUGGGCAUGCUACCAGGGGAAACACCUGCAGGGACAUGCCCAGGCCUCAGAUCAUGGGGAGGGGGAGCGUGGAGGGGGGGGGGGUGCAAAGACACUCACUGGCAUUGCUAUCAGCCAGACUAUUGAGGCUACUAGAAAUGUCCCUUCGCCGGAAAAGACACACAACCUUUGCCUCCACAUUUCCAUUUGCAGUCUAAGAGGAUAAAAAAAAAAAAAAAAACAGCAGUUAAAGUUGGUCAUUUUAAAGUGGAAACACAAAAA